rfam:Ricinus communis cultivar Hale ctg_1100012362466, whole genome shotgun sequence.
GGGUGCGAUCAUACCAGCACUAAUGCAUCGGAUCCCAUCAGAACUCCGGAGCUAAACGUGCUUGGGCGAGAGUAGUACUAAGAUGGGUGAGCUCUUGGGAAGUCCUCGUGUUGCACCCC